UGUGGGAGCGGGCUUGCUCGCGAUGCAGACAGCACGGUUCGUCAGGCAAACCUAAGCGAUUCCAUCGCGAGCAAGCCCGCUCCCACA
rnacentral:misc_RNA from 1 species